GUUGAACGCUGGCGGCAGGCCUAACACAUGCAAGUCGAACGAGUGGGGGACGGGUGAGUAAUGUCUGGGACAAUGCCUGAAGGCGGGGGGUAACUACUGGAAACGGUAGCUAAUACCGCAUAGCGUCCGAUGUUCCCAGAUGGGAGGAGCUAGUUGGUGGGGUAACGGCUUACAAAGGCGACAAUACCUAGCUGGUCUGAGAGGAUGACCAGCCACACGGGAACUGAGACACGGUCCAUACUCCUACGGGAGGCAGCAGUGGGGAAUAUUGCACAAUGGGCGCAAGCCGGAGGGAGCAAGGCCGCGUGAAUGAAGAAGGUCUUCGGGUUGUAAAGUACUGUCAUCGGGGAGGCGUUACCCAAACAGAAAGCAACGGCUAACUCCGUGCCAGCAGCCGCGGUAAUAC
rnacentral:rRNA from 1 species